rnacentral:rRNA from 1 species
ACGAUCCAUAGCUGAUUUGAGAGGAUGAUCAGCCACAUUGGGACUGAGACACGGCCCAAACUCCUACGGGAGGCAGCAGUGAGGAAUAUUGGACAAUGGGGGCAACCCUGAUCCAGCAAUGCCAUGUGUGUGAAGAAGGCCUUAGGGUUGUAAAGCACUUUAGUUGGGGAAGAAAGCUUUGAGGUUAAUAGCCUUGAGGAAGGACGUUACCCAAAGAAUAAGCACCGGCUAACUCCGUGCCAGCAGCCGCGGUAAUACGGGGGGUGCAAGCGUUAAUCGGAAUUACUGGGCGUAAAGAGUCUGUAGGUGGUUUGUUAAGUCAGAUGUGAAAGCCCAGGGCUCAACCUUGGAACUGCAUUUGAUACUGGCAAACUAGAGUACGGUAGAGGAAUGGGGAAUUUCUGGUGUAGCGGUGAAAUGCGUAGAGAUCAGAAGGAACACCAAUGGCGAAGGCAACAUUCUGGACCGAUACUGACACUGAGGGACGAAAGCGUGGGGAUCAAACAGGAUUAGAUACCCUGGUAGUCCACGCUGUAAACGAUGAGUACUAGCUGUUGGAGUCGGUGUAAAGGCUCUAGUGGCGCAGCUAACGCGAUAAGUACUCCGCCUGGGGACUACGGCCGCAAGGCUAAAACUCAAAGGAAUUGACGGGGACCCGCACAAGCGGUGGAGCAUGUGGUUUAAUUCGAUGCAACGCGAAGAACCUUACCUGGUCUUGACAUCCUGCGAACUUUCUAGAGAUAGAUUGGUGCCUUCGG